UUGCGGUCGUAUCACGUUGAAACACCGAUUCUCGUAUGAUCAACGAAGUUAACUCACUUCGAGCUUGGUCAGUACCUAGAUGGGUGACCUUCGGGAAAUACCAGGUGCUGUAA